rnacentral:rRNA from 1 species
GAUGAACGCUGGCGGCGUGCUUAAUACAUGCAAGUCGAGCGAACGGACGAUAAUCUUGCUUCUCUGAUGUUAGCGGCGGAUGUGUGAGUAACACGAGGAUAACCUCCUUAUAAGACUGCUAUAACCUCGGGAAUCCGGAUCAAAUACCGGAGCAUAUUUUGAACCGCAGGGUUGAUCUGCAAAAGUCGGUCUUGCUGUCACUUCUAGAUGGAUCUGCGCUGCAUUGGAUAGUGGUUAAUGUAACGGUCUACCAAGGCAACGAUGCAUAGCCAACCUGAGUGGGUGGUAGGCCACCCUGGAACUGAGACACGGUCCCGACUCCUGCGGGAGGCAGCAGUAGGGAAUCUUCCGCAAUGGGCGAGAGCCUGACGGAGCAACGCCGCGUGAGUGAUGAAGGUCUUCGGAUCGUGAAACUCUGUUAUUAGGGAAUAACAUAUGUGUAAGUAACUGUGCACAUCGUGACGGUACCUGAUCAGAAAGCCCCGGCUAACUACGUG